rnacentral:rRNA from 1 species
AUUGAACGCUGGCGGCAUGCCUUACACAUGCAAGUCGAACGGCAGCACGGGAGCAAUCCUGGUGGCGAGUGGCGAACGGGUGAGUAAUAUAUCGGAACGUGCCCAGUCGUGGGGAUAACGUAGCGAAAGCUACGCUAAUACCGCAUACGAUCUAUGGAUGAAAGCGGGGGAUCGCAAGACCUCGCGCGAUUGGAGCGGCCGAUAUCAGAUUAGGUAGUUGGUGAGGUAAAGGCUCACCAAGCCGACGAUCUGUAGCUGGUCUGAGAGGACGACCAGCCACGCUGGGACUGAGACACGGCCCAGACUCCUACGGGAGGCAGCAGUGGGGAAUUUUGGGACAAUGGGCGCAAGCCUGAUCCAGCAAUGCCGCGUGCAGGAUGAAGGCCUCGGUUGUAACU